rnacentral:tRNA from 1 species
GCCCCCGUAGCUCAACUGGAUAGAGUGUCGGUCUUCGGAACCGAAGGUUGCAGGUUCGAACCCUGCCGGGGGUACCA